rnacentral:rRNA from 1 species
UACGUAGGGUGCGAGCGUUAAUCGGAAUUACUGGGCGUAAAGCGUGCGCAGGUGGUCAUGUAAGUCAGAUGUGAAAUCCCCGGGCUUAACCUGGGAAUGGCAUUUGGGACUGCAAGGCUGGAGUGCGGCAGAGGAGACUGGAAUUCCUGGUGUAGCAGUGAAAUGCGUAGAUAUCAGGAGGAAUACCGAUGGCGAAGGCAGGUCUCUGGGCUGACACUGACGCUCAUGCGCGAAAGCGUGGGGAGCAAACAGG